rnacentral:rRNA from 1 species
GAUGAACGCUGGCGGCGUGCCUAAUACAUGCAAGUCGAGCGAACAGAUGAGAAGCUUGCUUCUCUGAUGUUAGCGGCGGACGGGUGAGUAACACGUGGGUAACCUACCUAUAAGACUGGGAUAACUCCGGGAAACCGGGGCUAAUACCGGAUAAUAUUUUGAACCGCAUGGUUCAAUAGUGAAAGACGGUUUCGGCUGUCACUUAUAGAUGGACCCGCGCCGUAUUAGCUAGUUGGUAAGGUAACGGCUUACCAAGGCGACGAUACGUAGCCGACCUGAGAGGGUGAUCGGCCACACUGGAACUGAGACACGGUCCAGACUCCUACGGGAGGCAGCAGUAGGGAAUCUUCCGCAAUGGGCGAAAGCCUGACGGAGCAACGCCGCGUGAGUGAUGAAGGUCUUCGGAUUGUAAAACUCUGUUGUUAGGGAAGAACAAAUUUGUUAGUAACUGAACAAGACUUGACGGUACCUAACCAGAAAGCCACGGCUAACUACGUGCCAGCAGCCGCGGUAA